rnacentral:rRNA from 1 species
UACGUAGGGUGCAAGCGUUGUCCGGAAUUAUUGGGCGUAAAGGGCUCGUAGGCGGUCCAUCGCGUCGGGAGUGAAAAGCUGGGGCUUAACCCCAGUCCUGCUUCCGAUACGGGUGGACUAGAGGUAGGUAGGGGAGAGUCGGAAUUCCUGGUGUAGCGGUGAAAUGCGCAGAUAUCAGGAGGAACACCGGUGGCGAAGGCGGUUCUCUGGGACGGUACUGACGCUGAGACGCGAAAGCGUGGGGAGCGAACAGG